AUGCAAUCAUAUAGUUGUGUUUUCCUGACACUAUAACCCUUAGGUCCCCCCACCCACCUUCACGGAUCCCCCUCCUGCUGGGCUGGAGUGGUUAAAACCCCUUCAGCUACUUAUUUUAAUCCAUCAAAAGUCUCUCUGGUGACCUUUCCUCCCACGUCAACUCCCGAGUGGAGCGGAAUGUGCAUGCGCAUCCCAACGCUUUCCUAUUGAU